rnacentral:rRNA from 1 species
UACGGGGGGGGCAAGCGUUGUUCGGAAUUACUGGGCGUAAAGGGCGCGUAGGCGGUUGGAUAAGUCAGCUGUGAAAACCACGGGCUUAACUCGUGGCCUGCAGUUGAGACUGUCUGGCUUGGGUGUGGGAGAGGAGAGUGGAAUUCCUGGUGUAGCGGUGAAAUGCGUAGAUAUCAGGAGGAACACCGGUGGCGAAGGCGGCUCUCUGGACCACAACUGACGCUGAGGCGCGAAGGUCAGGGGAGCAAACGGG